GGGGGCUAGCGUUGUUCGGAAUUACUGGGCGUAAAGCGCACGUAGGCGGACAUUUAAGUCAGGGGUGAAAUCCCGGGGCUCAACCCCGGAACUGCCUUUGAUACUGGGUGUCUUGAGUCCGAGAGAGGUGAGUGGAAUUCCGAGUGUAGAGGUGAAAUUCGUAGAUAUUCGGAGGAACACCAGUGGCGAAGGCGGCUCACUGGCUCGGUACUGACGCUGAGGUGCGAAAGCGUGGGGAGCAAACAGG
rnacentral:rRNA from 1 species